UGGCGCAGUGGUCACUGCACUCGCCUUGCACGCGGGAGACCCGGGUUCGAUUCCCGG
rnacentral:tRNA from 1 species